CUGAGAGGAAGGUCCCCCACAUUGGUACUGAGACACGGACCAAACUCCUACGGGAGGCAGCAGUGAGGAAUAUUGGUCAAUGGGCGUAAGCCUGAACCAGCCAAGUCGCGUGAGGGAUGAAGGUUCUAUGGAUCGUAAACCUCUUUUAUAAGGGAAUAAAGUGCGGGACGUGUCCCGUUUUGUAUGUACCUUAUGAAUAAGGAUCGGCUAACUCCGUGCCAGCAGCCGCGGUAAUAGGGAGGAUCCGAGCGUUAUCCGGAUUUAUUGGGUUUAAAGGGUGCGUAGGCGCCCUUUUAAGUCAGCGGUGAAAGUCUGUGGCUCAACCAUAGAAUUGCCGUUGAAACUGGGAGGCUUGAGUAUGUUUGAGGCAGGCGGAAUGCGUGGUGUAGCGGUGAAAUGCUUAUAUAUCACGCAGAACCCCGAUUGCGAAGGCAGCCUGCCAAGCCAUGACUGACGCUGAUGCACGAAAGCGUGGGGAUC
rnacentral:rRNA from 1 species